rfam:Fulvimarina pelagi HTCC2506 scf_1100011000323 genomic scaffold, whole genome shotgun sequence.
ACUUCGGUCGCUUUUGGCCGUAACGUUUCGGGCAUCGAAAAGCGGCCGACAACCAUCAAGUUUAGGAGUGACGACGUGGCACGUAUCGCUGGCGUCAAUAUCCCGACG